UCCGACCUCAGAUCGGACGAGAUUACCCGCUGAAUUUAAGCAUAUAACUAAGCGGAGGAAAAGAAACUAACAAGGAUUUCCCCAGUAACGGCGAGUGAAGCGGAAAAAGCCCAGCACCGAAUCCCUCAGUGUGAUGCUGACGGGAACUGUGGUGUGUGGGACGCCACCAGUCGCAUCAGCGGGCGCCGAAGUCCUCCUGAUCGGGGCUUCACCCAUAGCGGGUGUAAGGCCUUUGCCGGUGCUUCGCUGUGCGGCCGCGAGCGUCCUAGGAGUCGGGUUGUUUGGGAAUGCAGCCCAAAGUGGGUGGUAAACUCCAUCUAA
rnacentral:rRNA from 1 species